UUUUUUUUUCUUGGAUUGCUUACUCUGGGGGAAAUAUCCUUGCCAUUUGUGAAGUCACUCAGUCACUACGUGGAGGAUUCCAUGUAGAAGACGUCCACAGAUGCCACCAGCCACCCACCAGGCACCAGUCAUGUGAGUCAUGUGAGUGAGCCACGUUGGAAGAUGAGGCUUCAGCCUUUCUAAGCUUUCAAGUGCCCAAAGAAAACCCCUGUUGACAGCUUCAUUGUAUCGUUACCUGAAACCCUGAGCCAGAAGCAUCCUGCUAAGUCAUUAUUUUAACUUGGGAAUGUCAUCCAACAUACAUGUAGGAGGAAUAACAUAUGUUGUGGAACAGAAAGAGGUGAUGUGUUACUAUCCAGAAAACCUGCAACAUCUUGUAUUUCAGGCUGAAACAUGCCCUCUAGCAAAACCUUUGGAACUACUAGCACUCCAGAAGAGGACUUCCACACUUUGGGGAUAUACUGUAGAGUUUCCCUCUGUGAUCUACGGAUGCAUUUAGAAAGCAUUGUUUCUGAAAUCGUCUACUAAUUUCACUGUGGGCAAUAGGAUAAUGAAGUGGCCAAAGCCAGUGAUACCAGUUGUCAGAGAAAAAGUGAAUAUGGUUUUUAACAUAAUUGAUAACCUUCCAA